rnacentral:lncRNA from 1 species
GGACACUAGCCGAGGAGGUUUUACCAUUCCCGUUGGACUAUAACCUCGACUACUCACCACUGUUUUAAUUGAGCCUGGAAGAAAAGACUGCAGCUGUGUCACUUUUUUCUUCUUAGAAGCGUCUCCGUGCAGUGUGCCACAUUCAACACGGAGUCAAUCUCACCUAAAACAUGUUCACCAAAUUGUUCCUCUACUUCUUACUUCUGUCAGUGUUUCGUGCAUGUUCUCAAAACAGCCGCUUCUGAGGAUGAUGAGUAUGACGAUGUUACUGUGAAUCAAAUGUUGGCCCCCAAAACCCACGAGACAGAUGCAACGCAAAUACUAAACAACCUACUAAAGGAGUAUGACAAAAAGCUGCGGCCAGAUAUCGGAGGUAAGUGGUUUUCUAAAUGCAGUAUUGAGGACUGCAUUGAGGUUUUCUAAAAUGCAGUAUUGUGGAGCUGCGUUGAGCUGUCCAUGGUUCUGAAAUCCAUUUAGCUUCACUGUCUUCAGACUUACUCAUCUUGGAGCUCCAUUUACAAAUCUAUGUCAUAUACAUAAAUUGAAUUUAUUUUAAAGUCCAGCUGCUGUGUUUACCCCAACAAUUCGUGUUUUUGUAAACUGGUGAAGUGCAUUAGCUUCACACUGUGGUAGAGACUACACCUGCACUAAGUGACACCAUUUUCCUCAUACUAUGAGAAUAAAAAUGUCAAAUGUAUUCACUGUUUGAGAGACACUGAGAGUUAGCAGCGGGUUUAUGGUGUUGCAUUAAGUAAUUGAAUUCCUGGAGCAGUGGAAUAUUUUCAGCUGAUUUUCUACUUGUUUAUACAGGCAUUUCAUGGUUUUUCUCUCCUUUUUUUUCUUCUACCACGCAGUGCUCUUAACAGUCUUACAGACUGCACUACAAUCCACUUUUGCAUGUUAUCUCACAGAUUUGCUUGUUUAGAUGAGUUUCAAGAGUUAUAUUAGCUUAAAGUGUGCAGGAGUGCCGGAUUCAUGGAUCCGUCAGGAAAUUUCAGGCGUUCCG